UUGAUUGAAGGAAGACCUCUGGUCCAGGCUGGACCAAUCAGAGUAGUUCUCUAAGACAAUUUUUCCAACUGCAACUUAAAUUCCGGCCCUCUUUGGAGGUGGAAGCCUGGUAUGUGAGUCUUGGGAGCUGUCAGUGCCAUGCGGAGGGAUCUUGAUUGCAGAAGGAGAAUGAAUCCAACAGACUCUGAAGAAUGGGUCCAAGUCAAGGCUUUGGAGGAGAAAGAACACACUGGAGACUGAUAAGCCGACUUUUGGUGACAAGAGGAUUGAUGAGUCUCCCAAACCCACAAAAAUGGAGCGAAGGAGUGAAAAGAAAAAAAAAAGCAUAAAUCCACAAGGGCCAAAAUCAAUGGACGAGAACUCAGAGGAGAGAAUACACAACUUUGCUACAGCUGUGAAUAAAAUGAAAGGUCACCAGAAUGGAAACCCUAAAUGUGGAUUUAGGGUUUGUGAGCGGGAUGAGGGGUGAGGUGGAAUGUGUGGGAGGCAGUGCGCAGGAGAGCCCUGGUGUUGGGGGAACGCUGACUGAAACUGCCCACCCUAGUCAGGCAUCGCAGUAACCGUGUGUGUGAGGUACUUUAUGAUAGGGAGAUCCUGGUAAGGAACACAGGACUAAUAAGCCACCACCGAAAGGUCAAAAAGGAGACACCAGCCCAUAUGUCUUACCAACAGAUGGUAAGAAUUACCCAGAAUCCUCCUCGCUGGCAUCCAUCUUGGCUGAACAAUGCAGGCACCACCAGGAAGGACCCUGAGUCAGAGUGAUUGGCCAGAGACAGGAGACUAAUAGCAUCACCAUAAUACCAGCUAGAUGGGAGAAAAGUCCUCCUGGGUUCCCUUACCCUCCUGCUCUCCGCCCAGCUGCCCCCACCCAAUAAAGUCUCUCGUUUAGUCAGCACGUGUGUAUCCUUGAACAAUCAUUUCCUGGUGUCAGACAAGAGCCCUCUCUCCGGCCCCAGAAGGGGUCUUCCUUUCUGUAACCCUAGAUCUUGCUUUUCCGCUAGGAAGGCAAUAGGCACUAUCUAAAACUGAAAAAUCGAGCUGUAGUUGAGUAGGCUUAUAUUUCAAAACUACAGAGUAAGUACCAGAAAAAACAAAAGCAGAGGCCUCAGAAGUGCAGAGGGCUACAUCAGGGAUUCCCGC